CAGCUACUCUAUGUCAGGCUCCGUGUUAGCCUUUGGAGAUGCAAAAAUCACUUGAGCAAGAUUCUUACUCUUGAGGCAUUUGCAUAAGGGGUCUGUGAAAAUAACAAAAAUAAAGUAACUGAGGCAUUCAUCUUUGAAUCCAAAAGGGUUUUUUUUACAAAUCCAAUGACAUAAAUGGAAUUAAAUCUUCAGUAAUCUUCUAGCAUGAAGGACUGAUGUCGGGGUGGUAUGGAUUAUCUCAAGGCUCUAAGUACCAAGAAGAAUUCAAACUGGUGGUGUUAAGUCCCCAAAGUAAUCAGACUUUCCCUUUGAAACAUACAGUUAAAAAAAAAAAAAAGAACAAAAAAGAAAGGGAAGGCUUUUCUGAGGGCCAGCUCAUUGACUCCUCCCAGAACAGUCUGAUCCCCUCUGCUAGUGAAGCAAGAGGUCAGAUCCCCAGACGGAAAAUCAAUCUCCAAGAGUGGCUGGAUAGAAUUUCUAAUUCUCCAGUGCCACGACACACAGUCUGUUUCCAGCCAAGGAGAAUGGGGCCCAGAGGCGUUACCUUCCCCAACCCACUGUACAUUAUCAGGUUAAGCUGACACCCCUCCCUGCCUGGAGCACACAAUGUCUGACAGUCGCACACACACAGGCACAGCGAUCCCAUGGUGAGGCCUUCCAACCUGCUUUUCUCAAGGUGAGGCCUCUGAGGCAUAGAGAAGCUAAGUAACUCACCCAAGGGGAGAUGCUUGAAGGGGUGAAGAGACAUGUCUGAGUCCAGAUUUAAACCUUUCUCCUUGUGAUUCUGAAGCCAUGAGCUCUCUGUAUCUUAGGCUGAUAUAUCCUGUCUCAGAGGGAGACGUUUUUGCUGGCCACAUCCCAUCGGGUAUUACGAAGAAAAUAUAGUUUCAAUAAUCAUAAAGUGACUUCACCACGUACCAGCUAGAUGAUCAGGGGGCUGAUAGUGACAGAAUUCAAACUGGAGCGGGCAAGGAAGGAGUAGAAAGUAGGGAAGUAGAGACCAAGAGUAUAGGCAAUGCUUUGGAGAAACUUCACUCUAAAUAGAUGGAGAAAUACAGGGAAGUAGCUGGAAGUAUAAAGUUAUGUAAAAAGAGGUGGGAUUUAAAUUCAGUUCUGACUCCAUGACUGAAUUCUGUAAGUUGCUGUUUCUGAACCACCCUAUACUGUUGUUUCUCUGAGUUUGCAUGCUAAUCCAUAAAUUCUUCCCUCUUUUUAUUAUGAUUUGCAACAGAAGCUACUCAAAUGAAGUUCAUCUAUAGAAGAAAGUUCUGGAGUUUUUGAGUAUGUCAUUGUAAAACUAAUUAUUUACUAAGUCUGUGUUAAGCACUAAAAUGUUCACAUAUAGACAUUCCUGCAACCUGUUUUCAUCCUAGUAAUGCACGUAAAAUGAAUUAAGUUUAGAGGAAAAGAGUUAGAGUUAAAGGGUAGUAUUAUUGUAAUUUAUGGGUGAGGAAUCUAGGAGUCAUUGAGACAUUCACGGCAGAACUGGUACAAGAAUCCAAGCCUUCUAAUUCCCAGUCCCUGUCCUUGCUAUUCUUCCAUGCUUUCCACAAGAAGGCAGGCAGGGUAUAAAUGACUGACAUCUGCUGCUUGAACCCAGAGCAACCACCACCAAAACUUCCUCCUCUCAUAAUCAUUAAUAGUAAUAAUUGUAGUUGAUAUCGUUUGGC